AUUAGAAUUAGUACGCUUUGUCGUCACCAAUCGUGAAUUCACAAAACGAACUGAUUCUUUAGU
rnacentral:pre_miRNA from 1 species